rnacentral:rRNA from 1 species
GGGGAAUAUUGCGCAAUGGGCGAAAGCCUGACGCAGCGACGCCGCGUGAGGGAUGAAGGUUUUCGGAUCGUAAACCUCUGUCAGAAGGGAAGAAACCGCACCGUGCUAAUCAGCGGUGCAUUGACGGUACCUUCAAAGGAAGCACCGGCUAACUCCGUGCCAGCAGCCGCGGUAAUACGGAGGGUGCAAGCGUUAAUCGGAAUUACUGGGCGUAAAGCGCACGUAGGCUGCUUUGUAAGUCAGGGGUGAAAUCCCACGGCUCAACCGUGGAACUGCCUUUGAUACUGCUUAGCUUGAAUCCGGGAGAGGGUGGCGGAAUUCCAGGUGUAGGAGUGAAAUCCGUAGAUAUCUGGAGGAACAUCAGUGGCGAAGGCGGCCACCUGGACCGGUAUUGACGCUGAGGUGCGAAAGCGUGGGGAGCAAAC